rnacentral:lncRNA from 1 species
GAAUAUAGAUUAUAUAAAUAAAUAGAAUAUUUUAUAACAGUUAAUUGUAUUUAUUUUUUGACUAUAAAAUUAUAAUGUAAUAUUAGAUUCCAAAUUGAAGCGAAUAAAUUUGUUUGGGGCUAUAGCCCCCCCAGAAUUUUUACCUUAGUUGCGCCCAUGAGAGGAUGUCAGCGCACUAUUCGUUUUCUCUCUUUGGCUUAAACGCAACAAAGGCAAAACGCAUUUACGCAGAAUCAUUUUUUUUUUUUUUUUAUGUUUUUAAGUACCUAAUCGUUGAGUAAAUUCACCCAUUACAACAACGAUAGAGAGUAAUAUUUUUAAGGGUAUGACAUAGGUAUCGUUUUGUCUAAUUAUUGUCUGAAAACAAUUUAAACAUAAUUUAAAUGUAUAAUACAUUUUUUGUUUAUUUCGAAAGUCAAAUAACAAUAAAAAAUAAAUAAAUGUGGCGGCUCGUGGUUUGGGCGGGACGGGACGAUCGCAUACCCCGCUAAAAUUAAUUAAACAAAAAAAUUAAUUGCAUAUUAUUAUUCUUAAGUGUACAUUUUUAAAAAAUAUUUUUUAUUAAAAAUACUAAUUUUUAAACAGUAAAAUAGUUAUAGAUUAAAUACACUUGUCGUGUGCGAACAUUAAAUUUGUUUCUCUAAGAUACCAGGAGCAAAAUAUUGGUACACACGAGCAGCGUCGUCCGAGCAAUAUUCUGAAUAUUGUGCAUGUCGCUGCAAUCGUGUCCGUGGGGGUACGUUUCAGCUGCGUUCUUAUAUUAUACGGGUAUUGUAUGACCGGCAGCGCCGUAAAAGCAAUAAUAUUCUGAAUAUACGUAUAUUAUACUAUAUAAUAAGUUAUUAACUUAUAAGCGAGGCGCGCAAUCAUGUGCGUGGGGGUGCGUUUAUUGUUUAAGCUGCCAUGUCGUAAUAUACGGGUUUGGACGACCGGCAACGUCGUCCAUACAGUAAAAUAUUAAUAUAUUACCAUUGAUAUUACUAUAUUGGGUAAUUUAUUUUUUCGGAUGCUAAUCGCCAUUACUAUUAUUUUCAUUAUCGUUUUCUACUGCGACCUGCGACUAGUAGGAUGUAUAUUUUCGUCAUACGCUCGUACGUCUUUUGAUCCACUUCUAGAAAAAUCACCUAAUAAAUUAAUUGCUCAGUCAUACGAUGGUGCAGCGGUUAUGAGUGGCCCAAAAGCUGAUGUUAAUGUGAAGAUAAAAGAAAAGUCCCAUUCGUCAAUUUUAUUCACUGCUAUGCUCACCAAUUGAAUCUCAUAAUGAUACAAUCAAUUUCAAAAAAUUGGUAAGUUAAUAUAUUUUUUUCAAAUUUAUCUGAAUUACCAGUGUUUUUUUCUCAUUCACCACAGAGGGUCUCAGUGUUAGAUGAAGUAGUCAGUUUUCGUUUGCCAAGAGUAGUACAGAUUCAAUGGAAUUUUAAUUCAAGAACCAUUAAUACUGUUUUUGAUCACAGAGAAGACUUGAUAAUUUGUAUGGAUAAAAUAAUUGAAACAUCUUUACAAGCUAAAACAAUUAAUCAAGCCACUGGUAUUAAAAGGCUUCUAGAAGAUACUGAUUUUAUAUUUUGGCUGAAUAUUUUUCAUAAAAUUAUGCCACAUGUUGACUGUUUAUCUGCCCAAGCUAGAAAAACAGACCCUGCGCAAGUAAAUAACUCAGUAAAAUUAUUUAUAAAUGAAAUAAAUAAAAUUCGUAAUAAUAUGUCAUCAAUUUGUUCAACAGUUUUAAACCAGUCAGACAUAAUACAUUCAAAUAAAAGAAAAACUAUCGAAGACCCAAAUAUAAUGAAGAGUUAUUGCUUUAGAAGUAUGUGAUGUUCUAAUAACUCAAGCAAAAUGUCGUUUUAGUUUUAACAAACAGCUAACUACAGCAUUGCUUUUUCAAAACAAAUAUUACCAAAAAUUUAACAACAAAUUCCCAAUUGAUUAUUUACAAAAAACUAUAAAUUGCUAUCCUUUCUUUAUGAAAGAACGUUUAAGAACUGAAUUUGAGGUUAUUUAUAGCCAUGAUGAUUUUCGCUUAUUAAAAGGAAUUAUUCUUACAUUUAACUAAAUUAUAAUAUCAAAUAAUAUGAACAAUUUAUUUAAGUAGUUAAAUUACUUAAACUAUUAGUUGUCAUUCUGAUGACAUCGUCGGAAGCUGAACGGAUUUUCAACGUUAAAAAUAAUUAAAACUUGUUUGUGAAGUACUAUAGGAGAAAGUACCAUUCGAGAAGAGAGACUAAACACUUUAUCUAUUCUUAGUAUUGAAAGCAAAAUGAUUGCAGAAGAUAUAGAAUUCAA